UUUAUCUUCUUAUAUAAAUGCUUUUUAUAUGUAUUACUUCUAAAAAUCUGAAUCUUCCAUGGUCAAAAGCUCUGCUAAUAAAGUUCCUUUGGCUGUGUUAUCCCUUUGCACAGAAAUUAGGUAUCCUGCCUUUGGCAUAUAGUUUUCGGGGAAAGCUUUGCAUCAGCCAUACGAGGUAAUUGCUGUUGCAACUCACAAGGGAAUCGCAAUAUGGCAUCUGGGAUUGAACCCUGAUCUUGAUGGAAGGCUCAGUGAAGAAGUUUGCAUUGCUCUCUGGUCAUGUAGGCGAGGUAGUUUGGCAGACGGAGUGGGACAUGAGUGGAAUGACACUAGCAACCACUGGAAGCGAAGGUGCCGUGAGGCUGUGGCAGUCUAACUUAAAUGGCAUUUGGCACAGGCAGGCGGCAUUUGAACCCACCACCUAGUCCCUGUUAUUCCAUCUGAUAUAAAUUUGUGAGACUGAAUAGUUGCUGUUUCCUGUAUUUAUUUUGCCAGAUUACAUAGCUUCAAAUUUUUUAAAUUACCAGCUCUUAUGUAUAAAAUUUCCUCCCAGUAUAAGCUCACUGGGUCUGGGUCUUUCUAGGCAGAUAUGGAGUGGAAUGCAGUCAUCAUCAUGGUCCUAUGUUUAUGUUGUAUGCAAGGUUUCUGAUGAAUUAUUGAAUUCCAAGG